GGGUUUACAAAUUACCCCCAAACCCCUGUGAACAUACCUUAAUGUUGCCUCGGCGGAUCAGCCCGCGCCCCGUAAAACGGGACGGCCCGCCAGAGGACCCAAACUCUAAUGUUUCUUAUUGUAACUUCUGAGUAAAACAAACAAAUAAAUCAAAACUUUCAACAACGGAUCUCUUGGUUCUGGCAUCGAUGAAGAACGCAGCAAAAUGCGAUAAGUAAUGUGAAUUGCAGAAUUCAGUGAAUCAUCGAAUCUUUGAACGCACAUUGCGCCCGCUGGUAUUCCGGCGGGCAUGCCUGUUCGAGCGUCAUUUCAACCCUCAAGCCCCCGGGUUUGGUGUUGGGGAUCGGCUCUGCCUUCUGGCGGUGCCGCCCCCGAAAUACAUUGGCGGUCUCGCUGCAGCCUCCAUUGCGUAGUAGCUAACACCUCGCAACUGGAACGCGGCGCGGCCAUGCCGUAAAACCCCAACUUCUGAAUGUUGACCUCGGAUCAGGUAGGAAUACCCCUCGCU
rnacentral:rRNA from 1 species